AUUGAACGCCGGCCGCAUCCUCUACACAUGCAAGUCGAACGGCAGCGCGGGCUUCGGCCUGGCGGCGAGUGGCGAACGGGUGAGUAAUACAUCGGAACGUGCCCACUAGUGGGGGAUAGCACGGCGAAAGCCGGUUCAAUACCGCAUACGACCUGCGGGUGAAAGCGGGGGAUCUUCGCACCUCGCGCUAUUGGAGCGGCCGAUGGCAGAUUAGCUAGUUGGUGGGGUAAAGGCCUACCAAGGCGACGAUCUGUAGCUGGUCUGAGAGGACGACCAGCCACACUGGGACUGAGACACGGCCCAGACUCCUACGGGAGGCAGCAGUGGGGAAUUUUGGACAAUGGGCGAAAGCCUGAUCCAGCAAUGCCGCGUGUGUGAUGAAGGCCUUCGGGUUGUAAAGCACUUUUGGCGGGAACGAAAAGGACUGUGCCAAUACCACGGUUCGAUGACGGUACCCGCAGGAUGAGCACCGGCUGACUACGUG
rnacentral:rRNA from 1 species